AACGAACGCUGGCGGCAUGCCUAACACAUGCAAGUCGAACGAGACCUUCGGGUCUAGUGGCGCACGGGUGCGUAACGCGUGGGAACCUGCCCUUAGGUUCGGAAUAACUCCCCGAAAGGGGUGCUAAUACCGGAUAAUGUCUUCGGCCCAAAGAUUUAUCGCCUUUGGAUGGGCCCGCGUUGGAUUAGCUAGUUGGUAGGGUAAAAGCCUACCACGGCGACGAUCCAUAGCUGGUCAGAGAGGAAGAGCAGCCACACUGGGACUGAGACCCGGCCCGGACUCUUCCGGAAGGGGCGAAAGCGUAAUGGUGCAAAGUGGGGGAAGUGAUGAAGGACCUAGGCUCGGUAAGUGAUGUUGUCCGUGAAGAAGAAAUGCGUAUGUAACCGGGAAGAUAUUGACGGUACCGAAUGAAAAAGCCCCGGCUAACUCCGUG
rnacentral:rRNA from 1 species